rnacentral:rRNA from 1 species
GAUGAACGCUGGCGGCGUGCCUAAUACAUGCAAGUCGAGCGAACAGACGAGGAGCUUGCUCCUCUGACGUUAGCGGCGGACGGGUGAGUAACACGUGGAUAACCUACCUAUAAGACUGGGAUAACUUCGGGAAACCGGAGCUAAUACCGGAUAAUAUAUUGAACCGCAUGGUUCAAUAGUGAAAGACGGUUUUGCUGUCACUUAUAGAUGGAUCCGCGCCGCAUUAGCUAGUUGGUAAGGUAACGGCUUACCAAGGCAACGAUGCGUAGCCGACCUGAGAGGGUGAUCGGCCACACUGGAACUGGGACACGGUCCAGACUCCUACGGGAGGCAGCAGUAGGGAAUCUUCCGCAAUGGGCGAAAGCCUGACGGAGCAACGCCGCGUGAGUGAUGAAGGUCUUCGGAUCGUAAAACUCUGUUAUUAGGGAAGAACGAAUGUGUAAGUAACUAUGCACGUCUUGACGGUACCUAAUCAGAAAGCCACGGCUAACUACGUG